rnacentral:lncRNA from 1 species
GAGGAAUCGAAUGUUACUGGGGAAGGACCGAAGGACCCUGAGGUGGCACCUAGUUGUAUGGUGGGGCACCAGAUUGUACUAUGGCGGUGCUAGAUGAUACGGUGGAGGGAUAGGAUUGUAUCGAGAUGACACUAAAUCCUCUCGUUGUAGGGGUGGCUUGUAUUGUGGCAGUGGUAGAGGGUCAGACAACUCAUUCCUCCCUUCCCUGGCCUGCUGGGUAGAGAUGAGUCUCACUAACAUCUUGAAGAGUCGAUCAACAUCCUCUCAAAGUGACCCGUCUUGGGCUACCCUGUUCAGUAGGGGUCCUCAUCUCCUCAUGUCUUUGUACUUAUUUCUUUCCACAAAGAAGAGUGGGGUGAUGGUUCG